GCGAACGGGUGAGUAACACGUGGGUGACCUGCCCUCCACUCUGGGAUAAGCCUGGGAAACCGGGUCUAAUACCGGAUAGGACUCCUGGAUGCAUGUCUGGGGGUGGAAAGUUUUUUCGGUGGGGGAUGGGCCCGCGGUCUAUCAGCUUGUUGGUGGGGUGAUGGCCUACCAAGGCGACGACGGAUAGCCGGCCUGAGAGGGUGAUCGGCCACACUGGGACUGAGACACGGCCCAGACUCCUACGGGAGGCAGCAGUGGGGAAUCUUGCGCAAUGGGCGGAAGCCUGACGCAGCAACGCCGCGUGGGGGAUGACGGCCUUCGGGUUGUAAACCUCUUUCGCGAUCGACGAAGGUCCGCUUUCUGUGGGCUGACGGUAGGUCGAGAAGAAGCACCGGCCAACUACGUGCCAGCAGCCGCGGUAAUACGUAGGGUGCGAGCGUUGUCCGGAAUUAUUGGGCGUAAAGAGCUCGUAGGCGGUGUGUCGCGUCGGCCGUGAAAACCUGGGGCUCAACUCUGGGCGUGCGGUCGAUACGGGCAUCACUUGAGUUCGGCAGGGGAGACUGGAAUUCCUGGUGUAGCGGUGAAAUGCGCAGAUAUCAGGAGGAACACCGGUGGCGAAGGCGGGUCUCUGGGCCGAUACU
rnacentral:rRNA from 1 species